GUUGAGGUCUAUCCCAAUUGGCUUUUUCUGCAGACCUACAUUACUGGAGAUGCAUCAUCAAAUAAUAACUGUUGUUCACUUUACUCACAGAACUAUUAGAUCUUUUGAAUAGAACUAUAAGACAGAG
rnacentral:snoRNA from 1 species